rnacentral:snRNA from 1 species
UUACUUACCUGGAUGGGGUCAAUGUAUGAUCAAGAAGGUCCAUGGCCUAGGUUAGUGACCUCCAUUGCACUCAGGAGGGGUGCUUGCCUAAGGUCUACCCAAGUGGUGGAGCCUACAUCAUAAUUUGUGCAAGGGGGACUUGCGUUCGCGCAGUCCCCAC